AGGAAGUAAACUUUGGGAAAAUACAUCAAGUGCAUUCAAGAGAGAACCCUAGCAAGGCAAGCUUCAUCCAAAAGCUUCAUUCAAGAGUCAAAAGAAAGUGGUUGAGCAAAUUCCAAGAGUCAUUAAGAGCUCCAUCCACCCUUGAAGAGUGAAGCAUCCUUGACAAAGAAGAGAGAAGUCACAUCAAGCGAUAACUAUUCUCUAAACUCUUCUUUGUAGAUUAUAUUGUUAUAUUUGCUCAUCUAGGAGCUUAAAUCUUCUUACUUUGUUUAUUAAACUCCUUGUAAAGGUUAGUUGGUUAGCCUGCAAAACCAACGGAAUAGGUUGAUUGGUGAACCCGUAAAACCAAUUAUAAAGGUUCGUUGGU
rnacentral:lncRNA from 1 species